rnacentral:rRNA from 1 species
GUGAGGAAUAUUGCGCAAUGGAGGCAACUCUGACGCAGCCAUGCCGCGUGCAGGAAGAAGGCGCUACGCGUUGUAAACUGCUUUUAACCGGGAAGAAACCCCAGGACGUGUCCUGGGUUGACGGUACCGGAGGAAUAAGCACCGGCUAACUUCGUGCCAGCAGCCGCGGUAAUACGAAGGGUGCAAGCGUUAUCCGGAUUCAUUGGGUUUAAAGGGUGCGUAGACGGAGCGUUAAGUCAGUGGUGAAAUCCUGCAGCUUAACUGUAGACUUGCCAUUGAUACUGGCGCUCUUGAGUGCGCUUGAAGUGGGCGGAAUGUGCCGUGUAGCGGUGAAAUGCUUAGAUAUGGCACAGAACACCAAUUGCGAAGGCAGCUCACUAAGGCGAUACUGACGCUGAGGCACGAAAGCGUGGGGAUCGAACAGGAUUAGAUACCCGGGUAGUCC